UUUGAUGGCGACCGGCGCACGGGUGAGUAACACGUAUCCAACCUGCCGAUGACUCGGGGAUAGCCUUUCGAAAGAAAGAUUAAUACCCGAUGGCAUAGUUCUUCCGCAUGGUAGAACUAUUAAAGAAUUUCGGUCAUCGAUGGGGAUGCGUUCCAUUAGGUUGUUGGCGGGGUAACGGCCCACCAAGCCUUCAAUGGAUAGGGGUUCUGAGAGGAAGGUCCCCCACAUUGGAACUGAGACACGGUCCAA
rnacentral:rRNA from 1 species